rnacentral:rRNA from 1 species
AACAAACGCUGGCGGCGUGCCUAACACAUGCAAGUCGAACGCGAAAAUCGGCUUCGGCCGAUGAGUAAAGUGGCGCACGGGUGAGUAACGCGUGGAUAAUCUACCCUUCAGUUGGGAAUAACUUAUCGAAAGGUGAGCUAAUACCGAAUAAAAACUGCCUGACCACGGUCGGGUAGUCAAAGAUAGCCUCUGCUUGCAAGCUUUCGCUGAAUGAUGAGUCCGCGUACCAUUAGCUAGUUGGUGGGGUAAUGGCCUACCAAGGCGACGAUGGUUAGCUGGUCUGAGAGGAUGAUCAGCCACACUGGAACUGAGACACGGUCCAGACUCCUACGGGAGGCAGCAGUGAGGAAUCUUGCGCAAUGGGGGAAACCCUGACGCAGCAACGCCGCGUGAGUGAGGAAGGUCUUCGGAUCGUAAAGCUCUGUCGGGUGGAAAGAAAUGUAUGGGGUUAAUAGCCUUCAUACUUGACGGUACCACCAAAGGAAGCACCGGCUAACCG